UACGAAGGGGGCUAGCGUUGCUCGGAAUCACUGGGCGUAAAGCGCACGUAGGCGGACUCUUAAGUCGGUGGUGAAAUCCUGGAGCUCAACUCCAGAACUGCCUUCGAUACUGAGAGUCUUGAGUCCGGGAGAGGUGAGUGGAACUGCGAGUGUAGAGGUGAAAUUCGUAGAUAUUCGCAAGAACACCAGUGGCGAAGGCGGCUCACUGGACCACAACUGACGCUGAGGCGCGAAAGCUAGGGGAGCAAACAGG
rnacentral:rRNA from 1 species